UGGGACUAAAAGGUGUUCUCCACUA
rnacentral:piRNA from 1 species